GAAAUGCGAUAAGUAGUGUGAAUUGCAGAAUUCAGUGAAUCAUCGAAUCUUUGAACUCACAUUGCACCCCUUGGUAUUCCAUGGGGCAUGCCUGUUCGAGCGUCAUUUGUACCCUCAAGCUCUGCUUGGUGUUGGGUGUUUGUCCCCGUCUCCGCGCGUGGACUCGCCCCAAAGUGAUUGGCAGCCGGCGUACUGGUCCCGGAGCGCAGCACAUGUCGCGCAAACGAGUGCCUUGGUACGGCGGCGUCCAUAAGCCCCUCUCUCACGCUCUUGACCUCGGAUCAGGUAGGGAUACCCGCUGAACUUAAGC
rnacentral:misc_RNA from 1 species